CGGCCGCUGGAGUUGGUAUAGAGUGGAGAUAUAGAGAAUGAAUGGGUGCAGCGAAACUUAAUAUAGAGAAGAGAAUCUUGAUGACCAAACAAGAAUAUUCCGUUUAGAGAGUGGAUUUGGAGUACCACGAGUGCGGAUAGGCUGAGCAUUGGCAUCAUAAAGUAACAUGCCAGAUUGACUGACCAAAUUCAUGCUUCACAUUUUAGUUAUGCACUUCGGAUGCAAGUGGGUACCCGAUAAUAUUUUCUAUUUUCUAGGUCAACUGAUUAAUUACGAUAGCAUGCCACCCUAGUUUAUUGCUCCCUCUAAAUUAAUUCCGUAGUAUGCCAUUCUAGUUCAUUUUGUUAACUUAUUGGAUUGACCCAAUGACCCAAAUUAUGUAUGACCUGCAUCCCUAAGUAUUCCCAUUUCUUUGGCUUGUCAACUAUUGCUUAAACCGAUCAAUCUUGCGGCAAUUGAAUAAAAAUUGAAACAAUUGAAUACAAUUGUCACCAAGACUAACCUACCCAUACCCCUCACAAAACAUCUCUCCUACUCCAAACUCCAACCCAAACAGAAGGAGGCCGCAGGGGAGGGGAAGCGAGAGGCGCACCAGAGGCGUCCGGAUUUCGGGGGUCCUGCGGGGAGCGCUGGUUAUGGGUUUCCUCGCUAACUAACCAUGAAGAUCGAAGCCCCUUAAGGAAGCCUUGGCACUAUCUCCCCAUUCUCCCCACUUCAAUUAAGCGCUCUGUGUUCUCGUCGCCGUUGCGGCGCGUGGGUGGCCGCGAUGGACCCGGGCCGCCCGCUGCCGGGACGAGGGUCCUUCCUCUCCUCCUCCGUGCACGCCGCCGCGGCGCUCCUCCUCCUGCUCGUCCUCCUCGUCACGCUUCUCGGCCUCCCCACCUCCAUCUCCCCGCGCGCCGCCCCCGCCCUCACCGACCAGAGGCCUCAGGAGCCGACCUGCGACCCCGCCUCCCCGCUCGACUGCGCCGACCCGCGCCUCUUCCACCUCAUGAUGCGCAGCGCCAUCGAGGCCUUCCCGGCCGUCCACUUCGCCCGCUUCGGCCGCCCCGUCCCCGGCGACCCCCCGUCCGCCUCCUGCGACAUGGCCUGGCGCGCCCGCUCCGACUCCGACUCCCCCUCCAAGGCCACCACCAAGGACUACCGCCGCUUCGCCAUUGCCCGCGACCCCCGCACGUGCGCCUACUCCGUCCUCUCCAUCGGCGAGUACCACUCCGGCCCCAACGCCCGCAAGCCUCGCCGCGCCGCCACCAACGCCACCAUCGCCCCUCCGCCCCCGCCCGCGCUCUCCCGCUCCCAGUUCGCCCGGGGCUCCUACCUCGCCUACGUCGGGGGCGGCGACCGCUGCAAGCCCAUGCCGCACUACCUGCGCAGCCUCCUCUGCGCCCUCGCCGAGGCGCGCUACCUCAAUCGCACCCUCGUCCUUGAUCUCACCCUCUGCCUCGCUGCCUCCUACGCCGCAGCGGGCACCGGAGGAAUGCCUGAGGAGGGCAAGCGCCUUGCCUUCUACAUCGACGUCGACCACCUCCACUCCCAGGUCCCCAUCAUUGAGGAUGGCCAGUUCUGGGCGGACUGGGAUAGGUGGGGAGUGCAGGGCCAGCUCCCGGCGCGCCUUGUUGAGGACACCAGGCAUGCACAUAUCAAGUUCUCCAAGGUCAGGGACACCCUCAUCGUCAGGAAAUUCGGGGAUGUGGAGCCAGGGAACUACUGGUACAAUGUUUGCGAGGGUGAGGCCAAGGGUGUGCUCAGCCCAAUGCGCCGGGUGAUACGCUGGGCACCGAGCUUGAUGCACAUUGUCGAUGAUAUUGUCUCAAGGAUGCAACCAGACUUCGAUUCGGUCCAUAUUGAUGCCAAUGGUGAGGACCUUAGACGGAAGGUCGAGGAAGGUCUUGAUGCAGGGCGGCAAGUGUAUGUCGCAGGGGAGGGGGUCAGCAGUGCACUGGUGGAGGCACUCAAGGCAAAGCUCACUGUGCAUCACCUGGAUGAGUUUGAGGACCUGUGGGGGACAGACAGCAAGUGGUUUUUGGAGAUGAGGAGGCUUAAUGGCGGGGUUCCUGUGGAGUUUGAUGGGUACAUGCGCGAGGUUGUUGAUAGGGAGGUCUUCCUCAGAGGGAAGAAGAAGGCAGAGCACUCGAUCAUGGAAAACGAUACUCAGAUAGUGUACCAUGAUGCUUUCUUAGGAGAAAUACUGCAGCAUCAGCAAACUCUUGAUAUUAUUCGGUUUCCUUUGAUUGUCACGUAUUCUGGCCAGAACACUAAUAUCCCUGCCAAACCUGUCAAGAAGAUAUUAGAGACUCAAUUGUCAUAAGGGUAGGAUCACAAUUGUGUCCCACGGCGACAAUAAGAUGAUGACAAAUGAUGCAGCGGCUUGGAUUGGGUUUUAGCAGUUAAACUUACAGGCUGUGAAUGGUCUCUCGGGAGCAUAGCUUGAAUUUAAGGUGCUUUGGAUGGAGUCAGCUGAGGACUGCAGUGCCAACAACCACGUCUCUUAAAUAAAUCUUAAAGAAAGCAAUAAAAAGAUGUCUCUGUUCCUGCCCAAAAUUUCAGAGUAUAUUAUGUCUAUACAUUGUUCAUUUAGUCAGGAGGACAUACCAGUGGUUGCAACAAGUUUAGCGGAUAGUCAUGAAUGUAAUGCAGGAGAGAUAAGGGAUCUUGCAAACUCAUAUGAGUUGCAUUCUAUGAACCUAAGGCUGUUCAUUUUCUAGUUUCCAACAAAACUGAUGCUACAAUGAUUUAUCAAUUUAUCAAAUAUUAGUGAUAAUGGCAUCUCUCAGCAUGAUCUCCAUGGCAUUUAAUCUGCAUGACUGGAGUAUUGAAAUAUGUCAGCAGCACGGGGUCCAACGAUCCAAGUAUAAGGAACAUACCAAGCAAGAUAAUGGCAGCUCUUUUUUCCUUCAGGGAUUGAAAAUGUCAAUGUAGAAACCAGCCUUUAUUCAGUAGAGCUACGAAUAAAGCAAAUAUUUUAAGCUCUGCUGCCAUCCCAGAUUCAGAACGGACGACAAGAACAGUUGGAAAUGAACACCACAUCUCUAUGAUCUUUGACGUCGACUUCCUGCUAGGACGCAGACCUAGUGUCAGGCACUUAUGUGAAAACUGAUGCAUCUAUAGCAUGUGAGGUCACUAGCUGAAUUUUUGUGGCCAUCCACUUGCAGUUUAUCCAUGAAUGACGAAUCAAUCAGAAAUCAGUGAUGGAGAAUGUUGUUGGUAAUCUAUUGGGUUGUAUGAAUUGAUGACUUUUUUUAAGCCUGGAAAAGUGUUGUAGAGCUAACAUGUUGCUGAGGGAGGACUUCAUAAUCUCAAACUUACUUUGUUCUAGUAAAUUUUGUUUGUAUUACAAGUAAUCAAGAUAAUUUCUAACUCGAAGAGAUUAAUAUAUGCAAUACUCUUCAAUCAAUGGUCAUUACUCUUUGUGUUGUCCAUCACAUUGUAUAGAAAACUCAAUUCUGGAACGUGCAAAGGAUAUGCGCAACAAUUUGGAAAAUGCAUCUGGAGAUAUUACUGUACUUUUGAAUAAACUAGAAAGGCAAGCAAAAACUGAAGCUGCAAACGAAGGCUUGCUAUCUAGUUUUCGGGAUGAAUUGGAUCACAGUCUUCGAAUUCUGCAUAACAGAGUAGUUGGAUCAGUUCGUGAACACCAUAAACUUUUAGAG